UACGGAGGGGACUAGCGUUGUUCGGAAUUACUGGGCGUAAAGCGCACGUAGGCGGAUUUGUAAGUCAGGGGUGAAAUCCCGGGGCUCAACCUCGGAACUGCCUUUGAUACUGCAAAUCUCGAGUCCGGAAGAGGUGAGUGGAAUUCCUAGUGUAGAGGUGAAAUUCGUAGAUAUCAGGAGGAACACCGAUGGCGAAGGCAGGUCUCUGGGCUGACACUGACGCUCAUGCACGAAAGCGUGGGGAGCAAACAGG
rnacentral:rRNA from 1 species